rfam:Myotis davidii contig228912, whole genome shotgun sequence.
AGGCCCAAAGAGAGAGGCAGGGUCUGAUCUGCAGCCUCCAUGGCAGCUGUUGAUCAGCCCUUGCCUCUUUCUCUCCA